UUUGUAGAGGAUGCUUUUGGUGAGGUGCCUUCCGAGUUCCCUGGAACGGGACGCCAUAGAGGGUGAGAGCCCCGUACGGUUGGAUACCAAACCUCUGUAUAGCUCCUUCAACGAGUCGAGUAGUUUGGGAAUGCUGCUCUAAAUGGGAGGUAUAUCUCUUCUAAAGCUAAAUAUAGGCUAGAGACCGAUAGCGCACAAGUAGAGUGAUCGAAAGAUGAAAAGCACUUUGAAAAGAGAGUUAAACAGCACGUGAAAUUGUUGAAAGGGAAGCGCCUAUGACCAGACUUGUUUCUGGCAGUUUCGUUAGCCCUCGGGCUGAUUUACUCUGUCCAGUACAGGCCAGCAUCAGUUUGCUGUCGGGGAGAAAGGCUCUGGGAACGUAGCUCCCCCCUUCUGGGGGGAGUGUUAUAGCCCUCUGCAUAAUACCCUUCGGCAGACUGAGGACCGCGCUUCGGCAAGGAUGCUGGCGUAAUGGUCAUCAGCGACCCGUCUUGAAACACGGACCAAGGAGUCAACCUUAUGUGCGAGUGUUUGGGUGUAAAACCCCAGCGCGUAAUGAAAGUGAACGUAGGUGAGAGCUUCGGCGCAUCAUCGACCGAUUCUGAUGUUUUCGGAUGGAUUUGAGUAAGAGCACACAGGGUUGGACCCGAAAGAAGGUGAACUAUGCUUGUAUAGGGUGAAGCCAGAGGAAACUCUGGUGGAGGCUCGCAGCGGUUCUGACGUGCAAAUCGAUCGUCAAAUAUGAGCAUGGGGGCGAAAGACUAAUCGAACCUUCUAGUAGCUGGUUCCAGCCGAAGUUUCCCUCAGGAUAGCAGUGUUGAAUUUUCUUCAGUUUUAUGAGGUAAAGCGAAUGAUUAGGGACUCGGGGGCGCUAUAUUGCCUU
rnacentral:rRNA from 1 species